rnacentral:tRNA from 1 species
GGUUCGGUGGUGUAGUUGGUUAUCACGUCAGUCUAACAUCCUCGGAUAGUUUCACUGAAGGCCGGGAGUUCGAGCCUCCCCUGAAUCA